rnacentral:rRNA from 1 species
GAUGAACGCUGGCGGCGUGCCUAAUACAUGCAAGUCGAGCGAACGGACGAGAAGCUUGUUUCUCUGAUGUUAGCGGCGGACGGGUGAGUAACACGUGGAUAACCUCCCUAUAAGACUGGGAUAACUUCGGGAAACCGUAGCCAAUACCGGAUAAUAUUUUGAACCGCAUGGUUCAAAAGUGAAAGACGGUUUUGCUGUCUCUUAUAGAUGGAUCCGCGCUGCAUUAGCUAGUUGGUAAGGUAACGGCUUACCAAGGCAACGAUGCAUAGCCGACCUGAGAGGGUGAUCGGCCACACUGGAACUGAGACACGGUCCAGACUCCUACGGGAGGCAGCAGUAGGGAAUCUUCCGCAAUGGGCGAAAGCCUGACGGAGCAACACCGCGUGAGUGAUGAAGGUCUUCGGAUCGUAAAACUCUGUUAUUAGGGAAGAACAUAUGUGUAAGUAACUGUGCACAUCUUGACGGUACCUAAUCAGAAAGCCACGGCUAACUACGUG